GAUAUAUCUAAAUGGCAUCGUUUAUUUCCGGCCGGUGUUCCAACGAGUAUAGACGGGAAUGUGUCUGGCUAUUUUGUUUUUCAUUUUAUGCUCUGGUGGAACGGUAAAGAAUUGGUCAAGCCGGUUUGCGCGGAUGGGUAUGAAUUGAGGAAGCAUUUUUUAUUAUACU